rnacentral:rRNA from 1 species
AUGAGUAACAUUUUGAAACAAUCUAUUUACACGGCUCUGAACUUCCAUGUUAUUGGACAGCUGCGACAACGAUGUGGUAUUCAGUUCCCUAGACUCUAUCUACUAACCUUUAAUUCAGAUUUCACUGUCGCCAAAGUUCUGUCUGAUAAUAUGAGUUUGAUUAGAUUUAGAAGAGUUUUAUGGGGAGACACGGCUGAUAUGUGGUAUGAGCUCAAAAAUCUAUGCAGUAAAGUAGUUUUAAACGAUCAAGAGGAUAGAUGUAGUUGGCUGCUAACUAAAUCUGGUAGAUUCACGGUUAGAUCUUUGUAUCUUGCUUUAAAAACGGAUCAGGCUGCCUGGCCUCAUAGGAAAUUGUGA